rnacentral:rRNA from 1 species
UACGGAGGGUGCAAGCGUUAUCCGGAUUCACUGGGUUUAAAGGGUGCGUAGGUGGGUUGGUAAGUCAGUGGUGAGAUCCCCGAGCUUAACUUGGGAACUGCCAUUGAUACUAUCAGUCUUGAAUACCGUGGAGGUCAGUGGAAUAUGUCAUGUAGCGGUGAAAUGCUUAGAUAUGACAUAGAACACCAAUUGCGAAGGCAGCUGGCUACACGAAUAUUGACACUGAGGCACGAAAGCGUGGGGAUCAAACAGG